UUCUAUUUGCCUGGGUUCCCUCCUCCUGACCUUGCGUGUGAGCACCUCGGAGCGCUGGAGGUAUGUGUUACACUCAGUGUGGGCAUGGGGGGUACCAGGCUUCAUCACUGCCCUCGCCCUCUCUUUGGACCACUACCGCACCUAUCUCCCUUCCCUGCAAUGUCAUCACUCCCAGGGUGGGACUCUACAAGUGUUUCUUCUCUGACAGGGAUGCCAAGCUGGUGUACCUCUAUGUGCCAAUGUUGCUGAGCCUGAGUGCCAACGUUGUGUUGCUGGCUGCUGCAAGAUACGUCAGGUCAGCCAAGCUAAGAAGACUUGAGCAUGGAGGACCCAAGUCCAGGACAACAGGUACUGAGGACCCCAAAAGUAACACCAGCUUGAGUAAGGACGACAAUGCUAAUACCACUACCAGCGCCAGCCACCCGCCUGUCAACCUUCAGCACUCUGGCCUCCGCACUCACCAGACCCGCAACCUGUGGACAGAAUCGGUGAAGCUGGUGGUAUGGUCUGGAGCCACAUGGCUGAUGGAGGUGAUAGCCUUCGUUGUGGCCCAGUAUAUCGCUGAGCCCACAGGGUCGUGGUACGACUAUCUCUGGUAUCUACCUUCCAGCGUCAAUGCCCUGCGAGGGGUAGGUAUCUUCUAUAUCCUCGUGCUGACUCCAGAGAACCGUGUCAAGCUGGCUCGCGUCUUCAGCAACUUGGGAGGCUCCUUGGCGGGGGUCAACUUUCCAGGCAAGAGCACCCGUGCCAGGGAUGGCACUGUGUCAUCUGGUAACCACCAGUCGUCUAUUGGCGGUGGGAGCGGAUCUGAGGUACGGGGCCCCGGACGUCGCAAUAUGUCUAUUGCCACCACCAUAACGCAGUUUUCCUCUAUUAGCAGCUCACAUUCUCAUGAUUCUCGAGCAGAUACUGCGACUGGUCGGACUCGAGUACACCCCCGUGUGGCACACUCCAUCAGCCAGAUUGACACAAGACGAAGUUCCGCGUCUUCAGCGUCGUCAGAUUGCGAGGGAUUCGAAUUGGAUAAUGAAAUCAGUGGUGGAGGGAGACGGAAAUCGUCUCUAGCAACCUUCGGAGGAGUGUCGUUACCAAGUGUGGACGAAGAAGACGUGUUCGAGGAGGCUCCUACUAGCCACACUUCACUAAAUAUUACUAAGUCUACUAGUGACGCAUAAAUCCUCAUCACUUUCCUCAUAAAACUUCACAUUCAGUCUCAUGCGUUGUGAGUAUGUAUUAUAUUGGACGAAGUGUAAAAUUUAAUAGAAGUGCUAGAAAGGUAAAUAUUUUUAUAUUAGCUCAUAUUAUUUACAAACGCCAUCUUGUAUUUCUAUUAUGUACAAGAUAGUGUUUAUUAUUUUUGUUUGUCAGCAGACAUAAUUUACACCUCAGUAUCACUGCUACAUCAUACAAAAUUGUCAAAGACUUUCCUUUCCUCGACCUCUCUAGUACUUUUUUAUUUUUGUGAAUUUGAAAUAUAGCAUUUCAGAAUGAAAGUCAUUCAGGUCAUUAAGUAUACUAAGUUAACGGAAAUUAAAGCCUAAUGACUAUAAUAAAGUCUUAAAUAAAGCUGCAUAUAACAUUAUCGUCACCAGGUAAGACUACUUCAACCCUAAAAUAUGGAAGUAAAAAAACUCUAAUAUAUAAUUAUACACAGAAAGAAAUACAUAUCUUAGUGUAUACAUCCUGUGCAUAUAUAAUAAUAAUAAUAAUAAUAAUAAUAAUCAUAUCUUUAUUUACUACAAGUACAUGUACAAGGUAUACAGGUCUAGUUGACAACAUUGACAUACCACUAUUUAGAAAGCCGCUUGUUAUGCAGAGCAUUUCGGGGAAAUUAGGUCAGUUUUGUCCCAGGAUGCGACCCACACCAGUACACUAACACCCAGGUACCCAUUUCACUGAUGAGUGAACAUAGACAACCGGUGUAAAGAAACACGCCCAAUGUUUCUACCCUGGCUGGAAAUCGAACCCAAACCCUCGCCGUAUGAAGCGAGAGCUUGAGCACCAGGGACUAAGUCAGUAUUGAGUUUAUGGUUAUAUUUUUAAGCUUAUUAAUAGGUUACUAUAUAGACUUUUGGAUACUAAGUGAGAUGUGCAAUUAACACGGUUAUAUUUUGGUCCUAUGUAAGAAUUUUUUUUUCUUUUGGGUAUCCAACAUUAAUAGAAAACAACCUAACCUAACCAAACCUAAAUUAGGAGUUAGAAUUUAGUUUGGGUUAGGUUAGGUAACAUUUUCUGGGUUACUAAAAAGUUACGUUGUUCCCAUACGCCAAAAGUAUAACAAUUUCCAUUAAAUAACUCUCGCAAUAUUAUUGAAUUUACAUAAUUAAAAAAAAGGCCAUUAGCUCAAUACUUUACCAGGAUGAAAUUGGUAGUAGCAGUUAAGAAAGAAAUCAAUUACAUGUAUAUUAAUAGUACGUAUAUCAUAUACUGUGUCAUCUGUAUAUAUACCUGGCAGGCUUGGCAGUGAGGUGGACCGUCAUACAUAUAUACCUGGCAGGCUUGGCAGUGAGGUGGACCAUCAUACACAUAUACCUGGCAGGCUUGGCAGUGAGGUGGACCAUCAUACACAUAUACCUGGCAGGCUUGGCAGUGAGGUGGACCAUCAUACACAUAUACCUGGCAGGCUUGGCAGUGAGGUGGACCGUCAUACACAUAUACCUGGCAGGCUUGGCAGUGAGGUGGACCGUCAUACACAUAUACCUGGCAGGCUUGGCAGUGAGGUGGACCGUCAUACACAUAUACCUGGCAGGCUUGGCAGUGAGGUGGACCAUCAUACACAUGUACCUGGCAGGCUUGGUAGUGUGGUGGACCAUCAUACACAUAUACCUGGCAGGCUUGGCAGUGAGGUGGACCAUCAUACACAUAUCAACUAUUUACUCAGGAGUCAACACAUUGUUAUAUUAAACAUGUGUGUCAGUGUAUACAUGUGUGUUCAAUGUUUAUAAAUGUUGACCGUCGCGCAAGUCAACGUUCAAUGUGAAGUAUAUAAUAAACUAUAUUUAUU